rnacentral:rRNA from 1 species
UGGGGAAUCUUGCGCAAUGGGCGAAAGCCUGACGCAGCAACGCCGCGUGCGGGAUGACGGCCUUCGGGUUGUAAACCGCUUUCAGCAGGGACGCGGUACCUGCAGAAGAAGCCCCGGCCAACUACGUGCCAGCAGCCGCGGUAACACGUAGGGGGCGAGCGUUGUCCGGAUUUAUUGGGCGUAAAGAGCUCGUAGGCGGCUUUGUCAGUCGGGUGUGAAACCUCCAGGCUCAACCUGGAGCCGCCACCCGAUACUGCAAAGCUAGAGUCCGGUAGGGGAGCAUGGAACUCCUGGUGUAGCGGUGAAAUGCGCAGAUAUCAGGAAGAACACCAGUGGCGAAGGCGGUGCUCUGGGCCGGAACUGACGCUGAGGAGCGAAAGCGUGGGGAGCAAACAGGAUUAGAUACCCCUGUAGU